AGCAAAGGGUCCGAAUACUAUGUAAAUAAGACUGUAAUAUAACAAAAUGAGGAAAAAGUGAAGGGGCCUGAAAACUUUCCGAAUUAACUGUAUGCAAGCACAUUCAGAUUGACCACACGGUGGUGCUACAACAGGUACUGUCAGGUGAAAUACUUUCACAUCCCAGGCUACAGAUGGAGAGACGGGUACGUUUGUCAUAAGGUGGCUACAGCUUGCACCACACAGAGACGGAGGCAGAAAGGAAAACAGCAAGAACAUGGAGGAUAGACCCAGAGAGACAUACAUACAUGUACGGGAUAAACACGGAUUCUUUGCACAUUGUCUGGAAAUAAUGGACAACUUGGUACUUGUUUAUUAGUUCCAGAUCAUGUAUAGAUCGGAGGCGUUUAUUCCACUUAUACCAUUGUUGACAAAGAAAACAAGCAAACAUUUACUAGUAAAAAAUCAAUGUUUUCAUUGAGAUUUACAUUUUGAUAAGUAAAUUCAUCCUAUUUCAUCCUUCCACUAAACCUGGUUCUAUCGGUUAGGUUGCUAGAGAAGUGGACUUGUUAGGUGCCGCCAAACGUCAAAUCGAUAGCUAAAAUGCCGGGCAAAUGUAGAUUCAACCCUGGAACAUUUUUGGGAUCUUUUAUUUUAGCUCGUGAAAGAUGGGACCAACACUUUUACUUUGAGCCUUAUAUUUAUGUUCAGUAUAGUUUACCCAUCUUUUUUACAACUACAUCACUCUACCCAACCAACCCACACUGUGUAAGGUGCCAAAAAAUGUGUCAGACUUUGGCAUUGCGAGAAUGGGUGAAUCGGUCCUGAAGAGCCACAUGAAGGGGAAAGACACAACGUUGCAUCCUGGGCUGGCGCCAGUUCUACAUUAUGUGACUUUUUCUCUGCAAGGUCCCCCAAAGCUUUUUUGGCAAUAACGAUAAUUUUUGCGCCCGCGAUAUUCCACUUUAUCAAGCGGCAGCAGUGUUCCUGCUGUUCACAUGCCGUUUUCCACACAGCCCACCCGCCCUUCUCCCGACCGGCGACACUAAAGCUGCCAGCCGGAAGCAAGACACUUUUUCGUAGCUAUUAAAUAGUAGAUUCCCAAAUGCCCAAUAAAAACAGUCCUUAAGUUAGAGUAAUGCAAAUUGGAAAUGUGUAGGCAUGUCCCAAAACUCUGCUCAUCACUACUCAAAUGACUAAAUCCUUGAAAAGUCCUUGAAUUUGACUUGCCACUGUCUGUACGAACCCUGAUGCAUGCUGCACAGUGCCGGUGGGUGAAAAUUGGAUAAGUUAAAAUACUGUGAGAUAAUUGUUGCUAUUUUUAUAUGAGAGAACUAGCUAGCUAUGUAUUUAGAAAAACAUAUGUGGCUUUGGCUAGCAUAUAGGUCAGCUGCAACCACUGUAGCUUUGUAGCUAGCAAUUGUUUCCUCCAUGAACAAAGCAAACUAGCUAUCUAGCUACCAACCUUAAACAAAUUAAGGCUCAAUAACAAUAGAGUAAGUAGUGUUGAUGAUUUUUAUCGAAAUCUUAGAAAACAUAUGAAUUAUUCAGUAGAUAAUCUAGCUAGUCCGGUGGUGGUCUGCACAUAGUUUCGUAUGCAUUCCUGUGCUUUCUCAAGUCCAGCUUUGCGACGCUUGCAACCCGGAACUACCAGAACAGCUAUGUUAACGAUUUUCUGAUUUGGUCUAUAACAAAUAGCGAACUGACUUUUAUGCAUGCACCCCAAAGCCAUAAAUCCAACCACGCUCUCACAAGGAUACCACUGGGAAGGAGGCAUAUAAGAGCAUGGGAGUACCCUUGUAAGAGAAUGGGCUAACUGACCAAUAGGAACCUAGAAACCGUUAUUGAUCAGGGGAUGCACAAGGGUGAGGUUUAUGGCUACUACAUGAUUGGCUAAGGCCACAAUCUAUCCAUCUCACAUGUAGAGGGAGAGAGGUGAGGAUGGGUGAGGGCUAGAAGUUGCAGUGCCACAAAACAAAUAAAAAAACAAGAUGCAUACACUAUGCCCACAGUACUCUUUCGUAUGUCUACUGUUUAUAUUUAGGUGCAGGAGCUCCACAAAACCUGUAAUAUUAUAUAGGAGGUGCAGGCACUCAAGCAGUUGAACAUGUUAGGUGUUGGUAUUUGCUCCUGCCCACGUCAAGCACUGUAUAGCCUACAUGCAUGUGAUUGUGUGAUUAACUCCCAGCCAUAUUGUAAUAAAUCCAAUUUCUUGUCCUGGUUUUGUUACUGUUUCAUUCUAAAUGGCCCUUUCUCUAUGUUUAUUUUAACCGGCAAAGCCAUAUAAACAAUAACAAUCUAUUCAUCCUUGCCAGUGGCAUAGGGCCUACAUAAAGCUGUACCAACUGCUGAGGUUUCUUUUCAGCACCUUGGAGUGAAUCCUUGCCACUGCUACACCUGGCUAUCAGCGGAGCCUUGUCUGGUAGCAAAACAGUUCAUUCAGCCUCAUUUACUGCAUUUUUAAAAAACAGCUGAUAUGACUGACUUGCUUAAACAAAUGUGGUUUCUACUGACAAUUGAGAUGUACAGACUAUGGCAUAAGGGGACAACAAGCGGACAAGAGGCAAGCCAUAAUUUC